rnacentral:rRNA from 1 species
CCUACGGGUGGCAGCAGUGAGGAAUAUUGGUCAAUGGGCGCGAGCCUGAACCAGCCAAGUCGCGUGAGGGAGGACGGCCCUACGGGUUGUAAACCUCUUUUGCCGGGGAGCAACGGGCGUCACGUGUGGCGCCACUGAGAGUACCCGGAGAAAAAGCAUCGGCUAACUCCGUGCCAGCAGCCGCGGUAAUACGUAGGGGGCAAGCGUUAUCCGGAAUUACUGGGUGUAAAGGGAGCGUAGACGGUGAUGUAAGUCUGGAGUGAAAGGCGGGGGCCCAACCCCCGGACUGCUCUGGAAACUAUGUGACUGGAGUGCAGGAGAGGUGAGCGGAAUUCCUAGUGUAGCGGUGAAAUGCGUAGAUAUUAGGAGGAACACCAGUGGCGAAGGCGGCUCACUGGACUGUAACUGACGUUGAGGCUCGAAAGCGUGGGGAGCAAACAGGAUUAGAUACCCUGGUAGUC